rnacentral:rRNA from 1 species
AAAAAAAAAACUUACCUGCAGGACUGGGAUAACAGUGGGAAACUCCUGACAAGACCGGCUAAUGUCAUGGAGCUGCAUGGCUUUAUGAUGAAAGGAGACGCCUGCGGAGAGCCUUGCGUCCUAUUAGCUAGUUGUUGAGGUAAUGACUCACCAAGGCGAAGAUAGGUAGCCGGCCUGAGAGGGUGGACGGCCAAAAGGGGAAUGAGAGACGGACGUUACUCAUACGGGAGGCAGAAGUGGGGAAUAGUGGACAAUGGGGGCAACACUGAUUUUUUUUUUUAAUGUGCCGGCGACAG